rnacentral:rRNA from 1 species
GACGAACGCUGGCGGCGUGCUUAACACAUGCAAGUCGAACGGAAAGGCCCUGCUUUUGUGGGGUGCUCGAGUGGCGAACGGGUGAGUAACACGUGAGUAACCUGCCCUUGACUUUGGGAUAACUUCAGGAAACUGGGGCUAAUACCGGAUAGGAGCUCCUGCUGCAUGGUGGGGGUUGGAAAGUUUCGGCGGUGGGGGAUGGACUCGCGGCUUAUCAGCUUGUUGGUGGGGUAGUGGCUUACCAAGGCUUUGACGGGUAGCCGGCCUGGGAGGGUGACCGGCCACAUUGGGCCUGCGAGACGGCCCAGACUCCUACGGUCGGCAGCAGUGGGGAAUAUUGCACAAUGGGCGGAAGCCUGAUGCAGCAACGCCGCGUGCGGGAUGACGGCCUUCGGGUUGUAAACCACUUUCGACUGUGACGAAGCGUGAGUGACGGUAAUGGGUAAAGAAGCACCGGCUAACUACGUG